rnacentral:lncRNA from 1 species
CUAGUUAAUUAGAUCGAUCAGGUUUUUCGAUCCGGCCCGGGCCCGGCCUUUAGUUUCAUCUUCUUCUUGGUCAUGAAGUCAAAAGCUAAUAAAAAGGGGCUGAUUAAUCCCAAUCCCCUACCAUAUGCUGAAUUACAUCUAUACUUGUAGCAUGUUUUCUUUGAUCUCUCUUGUGUGUUUGACAUGAAGCUUCUGUGAUCUUCAUUUGUAUGCACAGUUUUUGAAGGUUCAGGGCAUGCAUCAUGGUGAAGCAAGCUGGGUAAGAAGAGAAGACCAGAUCGAGAAAGGAAGCAAGCUAGCUAGCACGGGGUUGGGUUAGGUUAGGUGGAGAUGGCCAACAGGUGGUGGGACGAAGGGCGGCUGGCGGAGGCGCCGGCAGCCAGCAACCAGAACCAGCAGCAGCUGGAGGAGGCCAUGGCCAUGGCGGCAACCAAGGUGGACGGGGAGAGCAGCCACAGCGGCGGAGGGAGCGGGCAGGACGAGGAGCCCAAGGAGGGUGCGGUGGNNNN